rnacentral:hammerhead_ribozyme from 1 species
GCACUGAUGAGGAGUCCCACUAUAGGACGAAACGGCUGUUCAGUGC